GCCAGAGGACAUGAGGGUUGGGUGGCCUCACUGACUCAAUGAACAUGAGCCUGAGCAAGCUCUGGGAGUUGGUGGUGGACAGGGAGGCCUGGUGUGCUGCAGUUCAUGAUGUUGCAGAUUCGGACACGACUGAGUGACUGAGCAACAAUCGAGCUCCUUACAGGAGAGCACCAGGGCAGAGAUGAGAAAAGGAAGAGGCGGCUGCAUGGGCUCAAACGCUGAGCUGCACCACUCCUGUUGCACAACCUCUCUGGGCUGGUGCUCCUUCCAUAGACCACACCCACUUGGGGAGAAGCACCCCCACCAUGCUCAGGGCCGUCCUUGGCAAUAACUGCUGCUGCUGUUAGCUUUACACUGUGGCUGGGAUGGUGGUCCCAGGAGCCGGGAACAAGAGAAGACUGAAGGGCGGAUUCUUCACUGCUGAGCACCAGGGAAGCCCAGUGAGGCUGUCACCGGCACCAUGUAGUGAGUGACUGAGGCACAAUCUGAACCUAGAACUGACUUCCAAUCCCAUGGCGUUCACACUAGCACCGGCUGAAGGGGAAGAGCCACAGGACUCAGCCAGGCAUCUUGCCCCAAGGGCCACCUUUCAAAGCUCCUUGCUUGGCAGUUAUUAAUGAUUCUUAAUUGUUUGUCACAGCGUUUCUUCAUAAGAUGUAAAUAAGAUCCUGAUGCUGGCCAAGAUGGAAGAAGAGGGUGGCAGAGGAUGAGACAGUAUCACUGACUCAAUGAACAUGACAUUGAGCAAACUCCAGGAGACAGCAGAAGAC
ensembl:lncRNA